rnacentral:rRNA from 1 species
GAUGAACGCUGGCGGCGUGCCUAAUACAUGCAAGUCGAGCGAACGGGCGAGAAGCUUGCUUCUCUGAUGUUAGCGGCGGACGGGUGAGUAACACGUGGAUAACCUGCCUAUAAGACUGGGAUAACUUCGGGAAACCGGAGCUAAUACCGGAUGAUAUUUUGAACCGCAUGGUUCAAAAGUGAAAGACGGUCUUGCUGUCACUUAUAGAUGGAUCCGCGCUGCAUUAGCUAGUUGGUAAGGUAACGGCUUACCAAGGCAACGAUGCAUAGCCGACCUGAGAGGGUGAUCGGCCACACUGGAACUGAGACACGGUCCAGACUCCUACGGGAGGCAGCAGUAGGGAAUCUUCCGCAAUGGGCGAAAGCCUGACGGAGCAACGCCGCGUGAGUGAUGAAGGUCUUCGGAUCGUAAAACUCUGUUAUUAGGGAAGAACAUAUGUGUAAGUAACUGUGCACAUCUUGACGGUACCUAAUCAGAAAGCCACGGCUAACUACGUG